rnacentral:tRNA from 1 species
ACCUGGUGGCUUAAAUGGUAAAGGAUCUGCCUGCAGUGCAGGGCACCCAGGUUCAAUCCCUGGGUCAGGAA